UACAGAGGGGGCAAGCGUUAUUCGGAAUUAUUGGGCGUAAGGGCGCGUAGGCGGCUUGGCAAGUGGAAGGUGAAAUCCCUCGGCUCAACUGAGGAACUGCCCUCCAAACUGCUUUGCUUGAGGCCGGGAGAGGUAAGUGGAAUUCCCAGUGUAGCGGUGAAAUGCGUAGAUAUUGGGAGGAACACCUGUGGCGAAAGCGGCGCACUGGACCACAACUGACGCUGAGGCGCGAAAGCUAGGGGAGCAAACAGG
rnacentral:rRNA from 1 species